rnacentral:tRNA from 1 species
UCCUGGUAGCUCAGAUGGUAAAGAAACUGCCUGCAAUGUGGGAGACCCAGGUUCAAUCCCUGGAUCAGGAA